CUGGCGGCGCGCCUAAUCCAUGCAAGUCGAGCGACGCAUUCCUUAGCCCGUAAGGGCGGGUUUGACGGAGCGGCGAACGGGUGCGUAACACGUGACCAAUCUGCCCCGAAGACCGGGAUAGCCCGGGGAAACCCGGAUUAAUACCGGAUGACCUCAUCAUCACGCAUGUGGAGAUGAGCAAAGGUUCAGGCGCUUCGGGAUGAGGUCGCGGCCCAUCAGCUUGUUGGUGAGGUAACGGCUCACCAAGGCAAUGACGGGUAGCUGGUCUGAGAGGACGAUCAGCCACACUGGAACUGAGAUACGGUCCAGACUCCUACGGGAGGCAGCAGGAGGGAAUCUUGCGCAAUGGGCGAAAGCCUGACGCAGCGACGCCGCGUGGGGGAUGAAUGCCUUAGGGUUGUAAACCCCUUUCACGAGGGAAGAAACUGACGGUACCUCGAGAAGAAGCCCCGGCCAACUACGUGCCAGCAGCCGCGGUAAUACGUAGGGGGCGAGCGUUGUCCGGAUUUAUUGGGCGUAAGGGCUC
rnacentral:rRNA from 1 species